ACGACCAUACCACAUUGAAAACACCGGUUCUCGUCCGAUCACCGAAGUUAAGCAAUGUCGGGCCUGGUCAGUACUUGGAAGGGUGACCACCUGGGAACACCGGUGUAACUGUAGGCU
rnacentral:rRNA from 1 species